GGUUCCCUUGCACGCAUGAGUACACAAAAUUGUUGAGAAGUUUCAGAAGAAAGGAAAAAGAAAUGAAAAAUUAAUUAGGAAAAAAACUCUUGCACAAUGAAUUUGAGAGGGAAUAGGCCAUGCAGUGAACAUCAUAUUCAUAUCUGGAGAUAUGAUUUUUGGGCUAAAAUUAGUUUUAACAAUUUAUUCUCAUAUCACGAUACAGCUAACAAGUUUCAUGUGUGUUGGUUACUGAUAAAACACCAUACUGAAAACUAUGAAGAUGUUUGUAAUAUUGUAAGAUCACCCAGGGCUGCUUUUCUCUUUUACCAAUAGAAGCAUUCACCCCUGUGCAUGUCAGACAUGAUAGUCCUGAUAUCACCAUGUCUCUGAAUCACAACUUUUGAUUGCUAGCUUUG
rnacentral:misc_RNA from 1 species